rnacentral:lncRNA from 1 species
UUUUCCAAACUAUACGAGAAUUACAUUUUUGAUUGUAGCACAUGCAAAAAAAAAACAUAAAAAGAAUAUUCUCUUGACAGUUCUACCCAUUUUCUCUAGUUGCUCUUCCCACUUUCUUUUACCAAUUUUGCCCUCAAAUUUUUGCAGCUAUUAUCCACUUAUUUGCUUUGCCCUCCAUUCUAGUAUUGUUGUUUAUUUCUAAGUAAUACUAAUAUGAAGAGAUCAGAAAAGGAGAAAAGAGAUCAUCCAC